AGUAUUUGCAUAAUAAUCUGAUUAAUUUUAUUGUCUGAAGAUAUAACAGUUUACCAAAGUUUAUAUUUUUAAAGAAAUCAAUACUUUUAAAGUUGAGUUUUGUUCACUUCCAGUAAAGUUUAGAUUGUAGUACUGUUAAGGGACUCCUGCAGUCGUAUAAAGCUGUACCCUGGGGAGCACCUGGUUUUUAUUGGUGAUGAUAAAUGAAGGAACCAAAAGGAUAAAUGGCAUUAAAUAAACAGUGUAAUAUUGUGUUAUGUUAUUAAUGAAAUAUGUAUUAUGUUCUCUAAGCAAUGUGAUUUGAUGUCAUCUAGACAAUGUGAUUUAAUGUCAUCUAGACAAUGUAAUAUUAUGUUAACAUUGUGAUAUAAUGUUAACUUUUUUUUUAACAGUGUAACAGGAUGUUUGUAUGAAGGUCUCUGGUUCUCUUUCGGCACUCAAGAUUCUUUUACCAAUAAAAAAACUGGCUCCAUCAAUAUAAAUAUGAGUACUGAAAAAAUAAAACAAUCAAUUAUUAUUAUAUGUUAAAGGAACAGUGUAAAUCAAAAUAUAUUAUAUCAGCAUUAAUGAGAGUUUAUCAUUUUAGUGUUUACAGAAACAGUGUUUGUGAAUUACACCUAAAUCAGCAUUCAACUUUGACUAGCUUCAAAGGAAUCUAAUUUAUAUUGUGUUCCAUAUCAUUACUAAAUGUGAAUCAAUUGUAAACAUCAAUAAUCUUCAGCAAAGUAAGAUUUACUAAUAACCUCUUAAGGAGUUAUUGCCCUUUAUAGUAAAUUUUUGAUAAUUUUCAUUAAUUUGGUAAUUUUUGUAAAUUUUUUCAAAAUAUUUUCCUCUGUAACUAAAGGGCCAAGUUUACUAUAGAUAGAGAAAAGUGUAAGCAGCAAGAAUGUUCAGUAAAGUAGAUCUACAAACACAUCACCAUCAUCAAACACACAAUUUUGUCAUGGAUCCAUCUGUGUCCUUUGUUUAAUACAUGUAUGCACAUAGACCAAGGUGAGCGACACAGGAUCUUAAGAGCCUCUAGUUUUGCAAACUAAUAAUCUUUUAAUCAUUAAUGUGAAAAUUUUGCAGAUUUUGUAAUUUUUUAUAAUCUUUUAUGUUUAUUUGCUCUAGUAUUAUCAAUUCUAGUCUAUAUACUCGAGUAUUACUAAUUCUAGUCUUAAAUAAUGCAUUAUGAUUGCCGAUUUAUACAGUUCAGAAAAGAAGAUUUAAUGUUUUAUUACUUUAUCAAUAUCAAAGUCUUGAUUUUCAAUGUUUACAUUGUUUUAAAAUUAGGCAUGUAUUUGAAUAAUCACAUUCAGAAAGUAUUGCCAAAAUCAGUCACUUUGAAAGCUCCGUAUUAUAUAUGAUAAUACAUGUACCAUAUGAAUCCUAUAUUGCAUAUAGGCAUCUAUAAAGUAAAAGAUGUUUAUCAGAGAGAAAAAAAGCUUUGAUGGAAUAAUAAUUGAAUUUUCAUUAUAGAUUUGACAAAACGUCACAGAAAGUUUUGCAAUUGAAAAUUAUUCCCUUUUUUUUCUUAUGGUAGAAUUUUAAUGAUAUGAAAAAGUGAAACCAUGAUUACCAACAUGUGUUAUGGUUCGAAAAUAUCAUCAAUUAAAUUUGACUGUGGUUG
rnacentral:lncRNA from 1 species